rnacentral:lncRNA from 1 species
UUCCCUGAGGAUGAAGAGGAUGCCUCAACUCAACCUUCUUGCUGUGAACUGUUGUGAGCAUGGCAUUAGAGACAUCACACGAAGAAACAUAUGAGGACAGUUCCAGAGCAUGAAGGUUGUCUCAGCUGCAUCCUUGCCAACCUCCUAGUGAGUUAGGGACAUCUCCUGAGGAAAGGAAGGGUGAGGUCAUUAGGCUUUGUGCAAAAGAGCCUCUGUGUCAGGAACAUCUGAGCUGCCGAGGCACCUGGAGUGGUAUCUCUGGUUUGACAGCAUGCAGGAACUGCAAGCAAAGGUCUGUAUUGCUGAGAGCUGGUAGAGAUGGAUGCUCCAGAGACAAAACACCACGCUCC